rnacentral:rRNA from 1 species
UUUCUGUUGAUCCUGCCAGACCUGACUGCUAUCGGAUUGAUACUAAGCCAUGCGAGUCUUUGCAGUAAUGCAAGGCAUACGGCUCAGUAACACGUAGUCAACUUACCCUAUGGACGAGGAUAAUCUCGGGAAACUGAGCAUAAUACUCGAUAGAUCAUAAUGCCUGGAAUGGUUUAUGGUUAAAAUGAUUCGUCGCCAUAGGAUGGGACUGCGGCCUAUCAGCUUGUUGGUGAGGUAAUGGCCCACCAAGGCGAUUACAGGUACGGGCUCUGAGAGGAGAAGCCCGGAGAUGGGUACUGAGACAAGGACCCAGGCCCUAUGGGGCGCAGCAGGCGAGAAAACUUUGCAAUGUGCGAAAGCACGACAAGGUUAAUCCGAGUGAUUUCUGCUAAAGAAAUCUUUUGCAAGUCAUAAAACCACUAGUGAAUAAGGGGUGGGCAAGUUCUGGUGUCAGCCGCCGCGGUAAAACCAGCACCUCAAGUGGUCAGGAGGAUUAUUGGGCCUAAAGCAUCCGUAGCCGGCUCUGUAAGUUUUCGGUUAAAUCCAUGUGCUCAACACAUGGGCUGCCGAAAAUACUGCACAGCUAGGGAGUGGGAGAGGUAGACGGUACUCAGUAGGAAGGGGUAAAAUCCUUUGAUCUAUUGAUGACCACCUGUGGCGAAGGCGGUCUACCAGAACACGUUCGACGGUGAGGGAUGAAAGCUGGGGGAGCAAACCGGAUUAGAUACCCGGGUAGUCCCAGCUGUAAACGAUGCAGACUCGAUGAUGCAUUGGCAUAUAGCCAGUGCAGUGUCGCAGGGAAGCCGUUAAGUCUGCCGCCUGGGAAGUACGUACGCAAGUAUGAAACUUAAAGGAAUUGGCGGGGGAGCACCACAAGGGGUGAAGCCUGCGGUUCA